rnacentral:rRNA from 1 species
GACGAACGCUGGCGGCGUGCCUAAUACAUGCAAGUCGAACGCUGAAGCUUGGUGCUUGCACCGAGCGGAUGAGUUGCGAACGGGUGAGUAACGCGUAGGUAACCUGCCUGGUAGCGGGGGAUUACUAUUGGAAACGAUAGCUAAUACCGCAUAAGAGUAGAUGUUGCAUGACAUUUGCUUAAAAGGUGCAAUUGCAUCACUACCAGAUGGACCUGCGUUGUAUUAGCUAGUUGGUGAGGUAACGGCUCACCAAGGCAACGAUACAUAGCCGACCUGAGAGGGUGAUCGGCCACACUGGGACUGAGACACGGCCCAGACUCCUACGGGAGGCAGCAGUAGGGAAUCUUCGGCAAUGGACGGAAGUCUGACCGAGCAACGCCGCGUGAGUGAAGAAGGUUUUCGGAUCGUAAAGCUCGGUUGUAAGAGAAGAACGAGUGUGAGAGUGGAAAGUUCACACUGUGACGGUAUCUUACCAGAAAGAGACGGCUAACUACGUG